rnacentral:sRNA from 14 species
GUUGGAUAUGGAGAUGUUAUACCAGUAACAGUAGCUGGGAAACUUAUUGCUAGUGGAGCUAUAAUUAGUGGAGUUCUUGUUUUAGCAUUACCAAUAACAAUAAUAGUUGAUAAU